AGCGUAGGAGGCAAGCGUUAUCCGGAAUUACUGGGCGUAAAGGGCGUCUAGGCGGAUGAGCAAGCGCGAUGUGAAAGCCCCCGGCUCAACUGGGGAGGGUCAUUCGAUACUGAUCGACUCGAAGGCAGGAGAGGGUAGUGGAAUUCCCGGUGUAGUGGUGAAAUGCGUAGAUAUCGGGAGGAACACCAGUGGCGAAGGCGACUACCUGGCCUGUUCUUGACGCUGAGGCGCGAAAGCUAGGGGAGCAAACGGG
rnacentral:rRNA from 1 species